CGUAGCCGGCUUUGUAAGUUUUCGGUUAAAUCUGAAGGCUCAACGUACAGGCUGCCGGGAAUACUGCAAAGCUAGGGAGUGGGAGAGGUAGACGGAACUCGGGAGGAAGUGGUAAAAUGCUCUGAUCUCUCUAUGACCACCUGUGGCGAAGGCGGGCUACCGGAACUGUUCCGACGGUGAGGGAUGAAAGCUGGGGGAGCAAACCGGAUUAGAUACCCGGGUAGUCCCAGCUGUAAACUAUGCAAACUCAGUGAUGCAUUGGCUUGUGGCCAAUGCAGUAUUGCAGGGAAGCCGUUAAGUUUGCCGCCUGGGAAGUACGUACGCAAGUAUGAAACUUAAAGGAAUUGGGGGGGGAGCACCACAAGGGGUGAAGCCUGCGGUUCAAUUGGAGCCAACGCCAGAAAUCUUACCCGGAGAGACAGCAGAAUGAAGGUCAAGCUGAAGACUUUACCCGACUAGCUGAGAGGUGGUGCAUGGCCGUC
rnacentral:rRNA from 1 species